rnacentral:rRNA from 1 species
GCUAGCAGAUAUAUCACUCUGCAAAUCACAACUGGUAACCCACUGAAGCUAAGUAGGUGUGAGCCUGGUCAGUACCUGGAUGGGACGCCUCCUGGGAAAAACUAAGGUUGCUGCUGGAA